ensembl:snoRNA SNORA70 Small nucleolar RNA SNORA70
CUGCAGCCAAUUAAGUUGACAAAGCUGUUUUCCUCAUGGGAGCUUGGUGUGCAAUGGUUGCAAACAGCAGGUUCCUUGGUAUGGAGCCUGUUUCUUGCAUGGGUUUCCUCUAAGGGACCUUAGAUACAGCU